rnacentral:rRNA from 1 species
UACCAGCACCCCGAGUGGUCGGGACGAUUAUUGGGCCUAAAGCAUCCGUAGCCGGUUCUACAAGUCUUCCGUUAAAUCCACCUGCUUAACAGAUGGGCUGCGGAGGAUACUAUGGAGCUAGGAGGCGGGAGAGGCAAGCGGUACUUAGUGGGUAGGGGUAAAAUCCGCUGAUCCAUAGAAGACCACCAGUGGCGAAGGCGGCUUGCCAGAACGCGCUCGACGGUGAGGGAUGAAAGCUGGGGGAGCAAACCGG